GUUGCUCAGCUGCCGCGACACAUUUGGAGCAAAGCUUCUGCUUAUUUCCUUUGGCCGCACCUUAUAUUUGUUGUCUUUGUCAACAUCUGACCUGUUUCUGCCUUGUUGAAAGCAAGUGGCCACAAGUACUGCUUAGUUUGCUCAGUCUAAACCUGGUAGUGCAUCCAGUUUAGCGCCGUGCACAUGUGUGGGGCAUUUCCUUGUUCUUAUUGUGCUGAUGUGUCGUGUUGUACAUAGGAGGAAAGCCGGUCCUCCACAAUAUGGUUGUCAGUGUUGCUGAAUACAACACAGUCUUGCUGCCUUGACACGCCACAUCAUUUGACAUCUUGGGGUGAGGUGGCAUCUUGCUGCUCCUUGUGGUCAGGCAUAGCCAAGACUGCAGGUAGAGUCCGCACACAAAGUUCGAGGUUGAACUAUAGAACCAGCACGCCCAAUAAAUGUGUGUGCAAAUUUAGCUCUAAGCGUGAUUUAUGUCAGGAAUAAAGAUUCACAAAAGGGGCUUGGUCCAUGGCCAAGCAGAGUGAGCACGAACAACAACAACCGUCUUCUUUCACAUCCUUUGUUGGUGCCUGCCUUUGCCACUACAUAGUAAUUAAUUAGUAAUUAGUUUGC
rnacentral:lncRNA from 1 species